rnacentral:tRNA from 1 species
UAAGAUUUAGUUUAAAGUAAAACAUUAAUUUGUCAAAUUAAAAAUAAAUAAAAAUUUAAUCUUAA